rnacentral:lncRNA from 1 species
GCCCACGAUACAUGCAGCUUGCAAGCUCGGCGUCUAAUCAUUAGUAAUGUGCCUAUAACCGAAAGCAACUGCAGUGCAAAUUACAAAUAUACAGGUACGUACCACAUGUACUCGCAUUAUAUGUAUGUAUAUGUAUCUGUGCACAGCCCGCGAUAUCUUCUUAAAAUAACUGUAUAGCACAUCAUUAGUCAAAUGUGGGAUCAAUUCGCUAAUCUCAAAUGUAUGGUUUAGCAGAACAUUUCUGGAUCCAGAUCCAUAUAAAAGUGCCCUGGAGAAACAAAAUGAUGAGUGUUCUUAUGUUCGAUUGGGCAAACAAAUAAACACAAUAAUCAACAGACGAAUUCACAAAUGUAUGUAUGUACAUAUGUAUGUAUGAAUGUGUUUAUAUGUUCUCCACGAAGAACGGAAUGAAAACGAAAGACGGAUUUGCAUGCGUAUUUAAAGAUUCGGACCUCCAACCCGGCCUUCAGUUGUUGUUCUAUUUCAUAUAUUUCCUUUUGCACUUGGCUUUUGCGUAAUGAUUCAUAACUGUGGCGGCUGUGUCUCUGUACCGCUCCCUCGUGUUCGAUUCUUGAAUUCAAUGUACAUGUCGGUGCUAUCUUGUUCUUACAAAUCGCGUGCUGAUCGAGCACUGCCGUUCCCGAUGCCCCCCCUGGCACAGCUUCUAUUCUGCCUUUGGUUCGGCCUGUGUUUGACAAGAGCGCUACACACGAUUUUAAUGAUUCCCUGCGGUCUGUGGCCAUCGAAGAUCCAAUAAGAAUUAUGACUUUUUCAAUGUGAUUUCAUUAAUUUUGUCUGCUAGCCUUCUUGUACGAUUGUGAUGCCACAACUGUGUCGCCGCUGUUGGUGUUGAUGUCGACUCUUACUUUGGGCGCCUUUUGGCAGCACCUUUGGAUUUCUAAUUCUGGCAUCGUCGGGCAAGAAGCGUGCACCAGUUUCUUGAACCCAAGACAAAAACGGACAAAAAACAGGGCAACUUAAUUACCUUUCAAUCGCUGUCGUUCUGGCUUACUUACUCUACGACAACAAUUACCAAUAUCAGUUUAAGUUCAUUUUAUACUCAUGGUGCGAUUGGUUUAUGACUAUUCCAAAUUCGGUACCUGAUUCAUCCAUUUCCUCCAAGAGAAGGAACCACUGUCGCGACCUUAUCUGCGACCGAGGGCUGACACUAUCAGACUAUUUCUAUUCUACAUUCGUGUGAUUACCCCAUAUUUGAAGGAUCUGGAAUCUGUGAGUCAGUCAUCGCAAAUCACAUACAAAAGAAAAACGUUUUGGGCAUUUAGCAUUCUGCUGGUGAUCUCAUUGUUGGCCAAAAGAAGCAGGCGUGAAGAAUUCCGCUUAAGAUUCGGCUUCUUCGACUUCCCUUUAAAGGAAAUACUCUUGUAUAUAGAUUUCAGUGGUUUCCUCUGUUCUGCUUUGUUCUAAUUGCGCUUGACUGAUUUUAAUAACAGACCUAUGCGUUAGACCCCGGCUAUAGGUUAUUAAUCAAACAGGCAACUCGAGUAUUCCCCUUUAUUGUAUUUUAAUUACCAGGAAUCACGGCUGCGGGCAUGCCGGACAUGAUGUCACCUCAUCUGGCAAGGCAAUUUGUCACACAUCCAACAAGAAACAAGCACCAAAUCACCGUCUAAACACCUACUCUUUUGUGGCAGUUCCAUCACUUCAUCUUCAUCUCCAUUUCCAUUUCUAUCGCCAAUACUGGGACGAGAUGAUGUUGGUUGCGAUUGGGAUUGGGCUGUUGGGCUGUUUGGCUGCUGGGAUGGGCCUUCGUCCAUAAACUGUAAGCUUGUUUGUUGGUUUUUAAUUGGCAGCACCAUAAUCUAUCAUUAAUUUUGCCAUAAAUUGUUUCCAUCAAUGCGAGAGCUGCCGCACCAAUCCGGUUGCCCGGUCUCCCUUCGGAGAGCAUUUUAUUUAUUUUUAUUUUUCUAUAAAACGUUCUUUUUAUCUGCGUUUGCAAGAUUUAUGCGCGCGGCUAUAAAAUAAUAUGCUGCCAUAGCAACGCCGCGCCAGCCAGAGCAGACAGCGACUGGGUUGCUCCAGUGUAUUGUACAUCCUCGGAUGGUCAUCCUUUGGGCCAAUGCCAACUAUUUAGCCGGCUAAAAAUAGCGCCCCAACACACAUACCAAAGCAGUUGCAAUCACUCAGUUUGUUGCUUAAGCCUUUUGUUUUAUUUCUGUUUGCAUUUUUCAGUGUCAGGCCCGAUGCCUCUGCAGCCCUCUGUCCUUUGCCCCAGAAUGAAAAACGGAGGCAAUCGGCAUGGGAUCGCCUCCUCAUCGCCUCUACUGAAAGUGAGUUAUGCAGUGCACAGUUCAUAGAAUAUAUCUCCCAUUCUCGUACACACUCAUAUACUCGUAUUUCAUCACGAUGUCAACUAUUUCCCUCUGCGCCAUCAGAUAUGGGAUCGAAGAUCACUUGAGAUGAAGAAUUUCAUCUAGCUUUCACUCACCAUCAAACGCGGAAGACCAGCAGUCUAAAAAAAACAGAAAAAAGGGGAUUUCAAUCAAACAACGCCAAUGGGCUAAAUGGGUAUUUUGUAUUCAUGGCCGAAGCUGG